rnacentral:lncRNA from 1 species
GCAGGCACCGGAAAUAUGGCAGCUGUAGAGAGAAGCUGAGUUACCUGAUGGAGCUACUGGGGUUACCUGGCAUCUGCCUAAUUCCAAGCCUUAGCCAACAGAAAUGCACAUAUUCCCCUGAAAGAGAAGCUGGAGGAGGCUAGAGUGCUUGACGAGGCUGCCUGAGGUACCAUUCCUUAAAAGACAUCUGGGAGCCUUGAUGACUGAAUCUCUCAGGUCAAUGGAUCACCUUGAGGGGCGUCCUGAAACCUGUAAUGACCCUUCACAUGUGCCAGUGCCAAAAUCUGCGGCCACUAUCCUGAUGCUCCUCAUGACCAGCCCUCACAUGUGCUUUGUGCUUCAAUGAAGGGGACACUUGUGCAAUCAGGUAGGAAGAGAUCGAUUUUUCCAGAGUGAUUUAUACCCUCUGAUAAUUGAGCUAUCA